rnacentral:rRNA from 1 species
GACGAACGCUGGCGGCGUGCUUAACACAUGCAAGUCGAACGGAAAGGCCCUGCUUUUGUGGGGUGCUCGAGUGGCGAACGGGUGAGUAACACGUGAGUAACCUGCCCUUGACUUUGGGAUAACUUCAGGCAACUGGGGCUAAUACCGGAUAGGAGCUCCUGCUGCAUGGUGGGGGUUGGAAAGUUUCGGCGGUUGGGGAUGGACUCGCGGCUUAUCAGCUUGUUGGUGGGGUAGUGGCUUACCAAGGCUUUGACGGGUAGCCGGCCUGAGAGGGUGACCGGCCACAUUGGGACUGAGAUGCGGCCCAGACUCCUACGGGAGGCAGCAGUGGGGAAUAUUGCACAAUGGGCGGAAGCCUGAUGCAGCAACGCCGCGUGCGGGAUGACGGCCUUCGGGUUGUAUACCGCUUUCGCCUUUGACGAAGCGUGAGUGACGGUAAUGGGUAAAGAAGCACCGGCUAACUACGUG